UCACAGGAACAAGGCAUAAACUACAAGGCUUGGACCUUUCCAAGGCAUGAACCUCAAACAUGGCCCCAAACAGCACAACACAAACUGACCAAUGAUCCCACAAAAACAGAGAAAGGGAGAGGUAUGGGCACCAGGUGACACGAGUGAGACUGAUGACAGAGACACAGGUGGGUGUGAUGACACUAACAAACUUCCUUUGAACCUUCUCAUUUCAACAGCAAAUUCAUCUGUUUUCUCUCUACUAUCCAGACGGAACACAACACAUUUUCUUGUCAGUUUCCUGCACUUAUAUAUAUAAAAAAACCCCAGAUCAGUUAAUGCACAACCUUUUAUUUCUGACUUCCUUGUUUGUUUUUUUAUUGACAUUUUGGCCUUUGGUCUCCACACUGACAAGUUUCUUAGUGUUUAAAAUAUUAACUGAAUUUAUCACUCAGGUUGAUAAGUUUAAGUUUAACUUUAAGUUUAAGUUUAACAAUGAAAACCCGAGGCAUUUUAUGCUGAUACUGGAAAAGAAGAAUGUGCAAUACCUGACCUGAUUGGUGGAUUAUUUUCUUGUGCCUCUGUGUAAAGAAGACUCUGACUCUUCUCUGAACUCUUGUGAACUUGUAGUAAUUAAAUGCUCUGCUGACAAAGCUACACACUAAAUUUAGCAAAUAUUCACAUGGUUAAAAACAACAAGAGUGGAUACUGUUGUCAAUAUUAAUUUGCUUUCAUCAUCCAAAGAAGCAAUGCUGAUCUGGAUUAAGACUAGAAAUAAAAAGAUGUUGAUAAAUGCCUAAGCCGCCUUGGUAAAUUCCUUACCAGUGUUAACAAAGUUUUUUAUUAAUCGUUAUAAAAACAUGACAGAGACACAACAAUGUCUAACAUAACAAUGUUAAGACGUAGCCGCAGCAGUAAAUACAAGAUGCUGCCUCUACCUGCUGUCUCUGCCGAACCCGCAACAACAAUGACACUGCUGACAUUAAUGAUGUCAGCAACAUGUGGUGGAAACAAUUAUGUUGCAGUCGCUGCAUCCUCUGCUGCGUUGUGUUUCCAAGCAUGUGUUUUAACCAUGUGUCUUUUCUGCAAACGUGAUGCAAAACACAGGCCUGUUCCCAGAGUGAAGGUCAAGGAAAAAGUGGAAGCUCACGGGACCCGGGGGCCUGAUCAGACUUGUAAGCAUUUUGUCUGGAUCUCUGGAGGCUGCUCCAUGUGUGUGUGUUUGUAGAGCGUUCUUUAUGUGGUCUGAGAAAAGACAGUUUUGUCUUACUUAUUAUUCUAUUGUCAUUGAAUCUUAAGUAGAAAAGAAUCAGACUGUCAAGUUUAAUACAUUUAUUAAAUUGUGAAGAACAAUGAGAUUUAAAGUUUAACGCAUUGUACAUUUUUUUUCAUUGCGCUAAUACACUGUCGCAAGACUGAUUGAUUAUUAUUGUUGUGGUUUCGCAACUCUACAACCAUUCUACUAGCCACCAUUUAUAUGUGGAGUUUGAGGUCCACCAAUACUUAGAAGCUCUUAUUUAAAAUAUAAUACAAAAAGCAAAGAAUACUUGAUUAUACACACAGGUUAAGCCAGUUAAAAAGGUUGUGUGUUUGGAUAAAGGAUAAACUAAAUAGUGCAGCAAACAAACUAAGUAAACAACUAGCCUGGAGGGUAUGGACAAAACAGCUAAAAGAACAUUUAAGACAAUCAACCAUGGUCUGUUAGCUUAAUGCUAGCCAAAUAAUAAAUAUAGCAAAUGGAUCCAACAAGUGAACAGCAUAUCCUGCUAAAAAAUUACACCUAAGAAAGAUAUUGGUGCAUAAAAUACUCACAAUUAUAGCUUUAUCUUAUUCUACUUCAUUUUUGGUACAUUAUAUAUAUAAAUAUAUUCUCUUACAGUUAGCAUGUACCUCUAGCUUUUCUUUAAAUGGUAUUUGCAGUAAUAAAGUAUUCCUGACUCCUGUUAAUAUUACAAUAUCCAAGUGCCACGACUGACAGAAGGUCCAGACACUGAAGGAGGCAUGUAGUAACUUUAAUACUUUACUGGUGAGAAGGUUACUUCAUUAUAUGACACCAUACAUAAAACGUAACACUAAUCACCAACUGCCGCCAAGCAGUGACUGCUAACACUGGACACAUGCAUGUCUUACUGAGGACGAUGACGGCGGAGGAGACCUGUCUGAAGACGCCAGGAAAGCAGGAUCAGCCUGAUUCGACUUGGCCAUUAACUCCUGUCUGAGCAUUCCUCCUUGUUUUUGCUGGAUGUUGCCGAUUUCUCAGAGGAGGGCUGAAUAAUAUUAAUUUCAAAAAGCAGCAAAGAGAAAUGAGGAGAGAAGAGACCCAAAAGCAAGGAGAGAUUUAAAGGAAAAAAAAAGUGGGGAGGAUAUGAAGGCUGCUGCCACACUCAGCGCUUCUUCAAGUUAAAAAAGCCUGGUAGGCAAACGGUGAAAAGGAGGCCACAUUCCCAGGCUUCUGAAUAAAGCAAAGCACUUCCCUGCACACAUGGUUAGACAUAUGCGCCUCCUCUCACCGCCUUCACCCGCGCGUACACACCACACAUAUAAAUGUACACCAGGAAGGAGUGCGAUGCCUGUGUUUUGUUUCAGAUCAUUAGUAGAAGAAAGAAUGUUUGAAUCUGAUCCAGGCUCAUUUGAAAUCCAGCAGCUGAACAGAGGCGGAACAGUGGAUGGAUUGAAGCAAGGAGAGGGUUUUUUCCCCCCAAACGUUUUUAUGCUGCUGGUAUUUUUUUCAAGAAGACCUGAAUAAAUAAAUCAGUCAACAUGUUAUUAUGGAGGGUCCAGGAUCGUAGGUGGAAGCAUCAACAAAGACUACAAAAAGACUCAAAACAUUUAAAAGACCAGGACUUGAACUUACUAUUGCUGUCUCCCAACCCGCCUGAUACACAUGGUGCACUAUAUAGGGGGCACGCCUUUUUGAGUAGUGUCCGAAUGUUAAGUGAGUGAAGUUGUCCACUAAAAAGGGCACUCAACGUAUCCCACAAUGCACUGUGAAAUAUAGUGUAUAAUGUCCAUUCAAUGUACACUACUCAAUAUAUCCCAUCAUGCAUUGCAGUCGUGAUGACAAGGCGGAGAGACGAGCGGCGUCCGUCCAUCUGUUUUAAUUGUGCAACAGUAAUGACAUAAUUAACUGCGCGCCGAAGUAGUGUCCAAAACCGAUUUUCUUUUAACCAGUGAGUCCACUAUAUAGUGCGCUAUAUAAAAUCCCCUAUAGAGGGAGUAGGAAAUGAGUGAGUGAGUGUGGAAGACAGCCUGUAAGACACUACUAUCACAUGCAUACCUGAGAAACCUAGUGGUAAAGCUGAGCUAAGAAGCAGUAUGCAUUAUUACAGUAAUAGUAAUUCAAUUUUUCCACAGAUGCAUGGCUUCGCCAUAAACUAAACACCGCUUCUUUGGGAUUCUAGAAAACAGAACUUUCUAAGGACAUUAGCUGAAAAAGUCUCCCUAGAAGUGCGUGGCCAUCUGUGCGUCUUUGUGCUCCUUUAUUGAUGUGUUAUACAGGUGCAGGAACCAGAAGACUUUCCCACAAACCUCUACUGAGAGGACCCACACUGUGCCAUAAGGACUGGCACUAAACUCUACAUCAUCCAUGACACCAAUAAACACAAGCCCAGAACACAUGACAGGGUCACGAAGGUUGGGCCGUACUCAGAGCAGGGGAUCAGUCAAAUACUUGGCUAGUCUGCCGGUGCCAGUGUCGACGAGUGUAUUUAUCCAUGUGUUGUCCAUCAUAGUCAGCUGUAAACAGACACAGUGUGUGUCCUCCAAGUACAGGUCAUAGGUCAAGGCAAGACGUGCAACUCAUGUAUCUGAACUAUCUGCUGUGGUGAGUGUCACCUGUGGCCACAGACGUUGACACUGAGCAGACACUGCACUCCAUUAAAACGUUGUGUAUUUCUGUUCUCAGAAGUAUAAUCCUGCACCAUUAAACUUUUAGCCUGUCACUUAUCUCCCACAGCUGCUACUCCAUCCUUCCAUAUCCAUCUAAACCAGGGCUAAUCAAACACGCUCAGAAGAGAAGUCUUUUUGUAAUUUCUUUGGCACCAGGUUUGAUUGAGAAAUUUAAAUCCUUCACAAAACAGUCCAGAGUUAAGUCUUUUUCCUUGACUGCCACGUAACCAGAUAAUGGAACAGCAAAAACUCAUUCUCCUUCUCCUGAUCCUGUAACCUGAUCAAAACCUUUUUUGUGCACCUCCUAAAUCAUCAUGACAAAACCUUGAUAACAGUAGAACAUCAUUUAUAAUAAUAAUAACGUGACCUUCAUUGCUCACUCAUGGGAAUUCUUCUGAUAACAGCAGAUCUACUUCCCUCCUGUAUGUGGUUCCUCUGGGAAUCAAACCCAGGACUACCUGGUUUCUACUUCCAAGACAGGCGUGCUAACCGCUACAAUAUAGAACCAUCAUUUGCAAACUUCAACAUAUUACAGUAACAUUCUCACAUAACCUUAGAGAAAAAUAGUGCCACUCACUUCCUGUACCACCAUACACCUCUAGUGGCCAAUCAACUAUAUCUUUUUAAUAACUGCAUGAUUCUCGCUUUAUUCUGUAAUGUUAAACCCGAAGCAGUAAAAUACUCUUAACGAAGUAAAACAAA